rnacentral:lncRNA from 1 species
ACUUCUUAAUUCAAACAGAAUUACAAGAAAAAUGUUUGAGGUUGAACACUUGAUAUACAAUCAGUGGUUUUCACAAUACAAAUCAGAUACAGACUCUUAAGACUCUAGAAUUUCUAAGAUAUGGACUUUGAUAAGAAAUUCUAAGUGAACUUUUGAAUGCAGAACAAUUUCAGCAGAGUUUUGACACUUGUAAUUCUUGGUAUUGUUCUGUACAAAACUCUAAGUCUUCACUCCUUUAUAUAGAGGUGUGAAAGAGACGUUGUGAAUUGCCAGCACAUCAAAAUAGAGUCGUUUGAAACUUUGAUCAAUCACCAAUGAUCUUUUUCCUGAUAUGGUUAUUGUCCUAUGAAGGAUCAAUUUCAAAUCCAUUCCCAUUGUGAAGGAACAUUGUUGCAGGCAGAGCUGUUUUUCUUGUCUUGCAGCAGAGAUAAAAACUGAAUAGUGGAGGUAGUGGUUGUAUACUUCGUACAAUUGUACUUUGUCAACGCUCUUUGAAGAACAAGCAUCCAAUGCCUUUAAAUCCUUUCAAAAAUAGUCGUUGCUUCACUCUUCUAGUCUUAUGCAAUGCUUAGAUGAGAUUAAAUCCAAUGAAAAGCCUUUGAAGCUUUAAGUCUUGCAUCUCUUGAUGAAAUAGAGCUUCUGGUGAUUUUCAGCUU